rnacentral:rRNA from 1 species
GCUCAGUAACACGUAGUCAACAUGCCCAGGGGACGUGGAUAACCUCGGGAAACUGAGGAUAAACCGCGAUAGGUCAUAGUAUCUGGAAUGAUUUAUGGCUUAAAUCUAUAUGGCCCCUGGAUUGGACUGCGGCCGAUCAGGCUGUUGGUGAGGUAAUGGCCCACCAAACCUAAAACCGGUACGGGCUCUGAGAGGAGAAGCCCGGAGAUGGGCACUGAGACAAGGGCCCAGGCCCUAUGGGGCGCAGCAGGCGCGAAAACUCUGCAAUAAGCGAAAGCUUGACAGGGUUAUUCUGAGUGAUUUCCGCUAAGGAAAUCUUUUGGCACCUCUAAAAAUGGUGCAGAAUAAGGGGUGGGCAAGCCUGGUGUCAGCCGCCGCGGUAAUACCAGCACCCCGAGUGGUCGGGACGAUUAUUGGGCCUAAAGCAUCCGUAGCCGGUUCUACAAGUCUUCCGUUAAAUCCACCUGCUUAACAGAUGGGCUGCGGAGGAUACUAUAGAGCUAGGAGGCGGGAGAGGCAAGCGGUACUUAGUGGGUAGGGGUAAAAUCCGUUGAUCCAUUGAAGACCACCAGUGGCGAAGGCGGCUUGCCAGAACGCACUCGACGGUGAGGGAUGAAAGCUGGGGGAGCAAACCGGAUUAGAUACCCGGGUAGUCCCAGCUGUAAACGAUGCAGACUCGGUGAUGAAUAGGCUUCGUGCCUAUUCAGUGCCGCAGGGAAGCCGUUAAGUCUGCCGCCUGGGGAGUACGGUCGCAAGACUGAAACUUAAAGGAAUUGGCGGGGGAGCACCA